rnacentral:misc_RNA from 1 species
AACGCACAUUGCGCCCGCCAGUAUUCUGGCGGGCAUGCCUGUUCGAGCGUCAUUUCAACCAUCAAGCCCAGCGCUUGUGUUGGGGACCCGCGGCUGCCGCGGGCCCUUAAAGACAGUGGCGGUCUCGCUGCAGUACCGAGCGUAGUAACAUACAUCUCGCUCUGGGAGCUGCGCGUGCACCUGCCGUAAAAACCCCCACCUCUCACAAGGUUGACCUCGGAUCAGGUAGGAAUACCCGCUGAACUUAA